AUCUCAAGUCCUGGCUGUGUGUCCUGGGGUAAGUUACUAACUUCUGUGACUUUCCUUUUCUGAUUUACCUCACAGAAUAAAAAUCUGUUAAAUAGUUUGGCAAGCUGUAAAGUGCUGUAGUCUGCCUUGAGUUGUCACACCGCUUCUCUGUGUGCCUGCCUGGUCCCCUGGUCCCUCAAGAACAGGAAUCAUAGUGGGGCCUCCUGUGGUCUCAUUGGACAACUCCUCUGGUUCCUUACGACUCGGGGUGACCAUGGCCUCUUCCAGGCUCUUAGAGGCCUUUGCAGUCUCCACCCCCUUCUUCAGGAUGCUUCUUCAGGGCUAGUUCCUCUGUGGUCGUUCUCUGGCCUCCUGCUCUGUAAGCUCCUUGCCUGUGCCCCCAAGUUGGAAAGGAAGAUCCUGUGGGGGGCCCCUCAGUAAUUGUUUACGAAAUGGGGUUUCUAAGCCAGCUGCUGGGAAAGUCCUCUGCUGGCCAAAUCCGCUUCACAGUUUGUGUCCUCUUCUCUGCCCCGUAGGACCACAGGCCAUGAGCCAACCAUUUGCUGGAAUGGUCCUUCCGCAUGAAGGGCACACAGGGCAACUCCUACAGGCAGAGUCCAAAGGAGGUGCAUCCGCAGCACCAGUAGCACUGUUUCCAGGCCUAGGGACCAUCUGCCUGGACACUGCAUGGAGCCCAGGAUGUGGGCUGGCCAAAGUCCUACCCCAGCUGGGCACAAGCCCAGAGUUACACAGGAACAGUCACACAGUCACUGUGCACACGCACCGCCAGCCCUGCACGCACCCAGAGGAAGUCAGACGAUGAGAAAUGGUGACUGGCUUUAAAUAAACAUAGCCAGCUAUUUCAGAUCGCAGGAGAUUGGGGGCCUUUUCUGGGCUGAGACACACCUUGCCUGGAGCAAUACCUGUUAAGACAGGACACUCCCAGCUCCCAACCAGGGCAGCUCAGACUCCAAAAUGGGGGUCUGGCUCCCCCUGCUGGUGUACUUGGGAACACACCAGCGUGCCAACCAUCAAACUGGAUUCUACAGGGACACAGAGAGGAAUACAGACAUUUGGUGCUCUCCCUCUCUUUCUAUUUCAGAGAAUCAUAGUGAUUUACCUUUGUUCAUCUUCAUGAAGGCAGGACUCACCUCCCUGUCGUACAGAAGUAAAGAUGAGGCUCAGAGUUCAAGCAAGUCUUGCAGAUCCCACAGCAAGGUGGGGAGUCUGUCUCCUUCACCUGAGGACCCAAGAGGAAGCAGGAGUACCUACUGACAUCACUGGUCUCCCAGACCCCAGCCAGAUAUCUCAUCUGGGACUUUCCUUCUCUGUCAGCUAGCACCUUUCCUUUGUCAUGUCCUCUCUGGCCAAGAGUGAAUACCAGAUCCAUUCUGUAUUCUGAGCCCACUUAGUGAGCACCUGGGCCGGGCUAGAGGGGUCGCCCAUGUUUAGCAGAUAGUCAGAGAUGCACAGAGAAACAGUUGCAAGAUAGGCACCAUCCCUGGGGCAUAAGGGCUUACUGGGCUGGGGGUCCUGUUGUAGAACUUGGGUCUAGAACAGGGCCUUGAAAAUGUCCCAUUGGGCUGGGGAUGUGGCUCAAGCAGUAGCGCGCUCGCCUGGCGUGCGUGCUGCCCGGGUUCGAUCACAUACAAACAAAGAUCUUGUGUCCGCUGAAAACUAAAAAAUAAAUAUUAAAAAAUUCUCUCUCUCUCUCUCUCUCUCUCUCUCUCUCUCUCUCUCUCUCUCUCUUUAAAAAAAAAAAAGAAAAGAAAAAGAGAAAAGAAACUGUCCCAUUGGGACCACUCCUGGGAGGAAAUGUCCAGAUUAGUCACACCCCUGCCUUCAAGCAGGGGGCAAGUUUCUAGGAAGAGAUGAAGUGGCCCCGGGGUGAAAGUUGGAGGCUCCCUCUGCAGCAGAGGCCAGCCAGGGAGGGAGGACCAUCUAGGCUUGGGAGCACUUCUCCUCAUCAGGAGCCUCCUAUGUUAUCCUUCCCUCUGCUCUCAGUACCUCCUGGGUUAAAGGAGCCACUAGCUUGUCUUGCUGGGUGAGGCCUCUUUCUUCCCUCUGGAGAACAAGCAGGUUGAGAAGGUGUCUGUGACUAGUUUGAUCUGAUGAUUCUCCUGGACACACCUUGGUUAAGAGGCCUUUAAAAUAAAGCUUUAGGUGGUGAGCCUUAGGGACCAGGUCUUAAUACAGGUUAUAAUAUAGCCCUUUUCCCCCCAGGGAUUUGGGUCUUCCCUGUGCCUAUCUGGUCUUGGAUUUCUGCAAGAUGAGGAGUGUACAGGCAGGUCCCAUGUUAUGAGUGACAUUGGCUCUCCAGCCUCUAAGUACCUUCCUAGCCUGGCUUCAUGGUAACUGCUGGAGGUGGGGACCUGUAGUCCCCAAGGCUCAUCUCCUCAACUAGAAGAAGGCUUUCUUCUAGGGACCAUGAGUCCCUGAUUCUCUCAGGUAGCCAAGAUCCCUUAGCUGGCUUCCUUUACUGGGUGAGGGUCAGUACCUUAGGCAGGGAAACACCUGCCUACCUCAAUGCAGUGAUUACAGGACAAACUGGGAGCCAGGUGGACCAGGCACUAAAUCCCAGUUCAACCAGUUCCUCCCUGUGUAACCUUGAGCAACCUGCUUAACCUUCCUGACCCUCUGUUUCCAAAUCUGUCAGGACAAGAGUUCCCACGGCCUGAGGUUGUGCAGAAAUGAAAUGAGAUUUUUCAGUGACUCAAGGGAUACGAUCACUGUGCCCAGGACAGGUGAAACUAGAGAUUAAGUGUGGUAUAUUUUGAUGGAGUGUUAAUUUUACUAGGAAAAAGAAAUGGGGACAUGUAUUUUGAGCUAAACCUGCAAAAUGUGAAUCUUGAAUUUUUCAGAAGAAAAAUAUGACUGAAGUGUUUUGAGAGCUGACAGUAGUUCUGUGUCUGUGUCUGUGUCAUGUGCCUGAGCCUCUUGGGGAGGCAUCACCUGACUGCAUGGGAAAGAGACCCAGGCUUCUCUGCACCUGGGUCUGGCACAACCAGUGUGAGUCAAGGAGACCUUCCCCGCUCUCUGGAUAAUCAAGAGUUUUGGCCUGACCUUUGAGCACACAUCAAGAUAGUGAGGAGCUGGAGCAAAAGCAUAGACCAUGGUGUUCAGCACAUGUUCUGCAGGUCCAGAAGGGGCCUGCAGUAUUUUACUGGAAACCCACAAUUAUGAAAUCCAAUGAGAGCCCAUAUCACGGUGGCAUAUUCUUUUCUUUUUUUUUAAAUUUUAACUAUAUUUUCAUUGAUAUUUCUUUUUUUAAAUAAUGUUCUUAAGAGGAUUAUUCUUUUUUUUUUUUAAAGAGAGAGAGAAUUUUUAAUAUUUAUUUUUUUCAGCUUUUCGGCAGACACAACAUCUUUGUUUGUAUGUGGUGCUGAGGAUCGAACCCGGGCCGCACGCAUGCCACGCGAGCGCGCUACCGCUUGAGCCACAUCUCCAGCCCUGCAUAUUCUUUUCGACAAUUCAUUUUCCUACAGUCUACACCUUCAAAUCACUUGCAUUUACAUUUCAACAAGAACUUCUCAUCCAAAUAUUAACAGUAAUGGCAGCAAAAUUCUAAAAUCAAAAAGUCUCAAAAUUUAAGACCACAAUGCUGUAUUUUUUUAAAAAUUUUUUUUAGUUGUAGAUGGAAACAGUACCUUUAUUUUAUUUGUUUAUUUUUAUGUGGUGCCAGGGAUCAAACCCCAUGCCUCACGAUGGUAGGCAAAUGCUCUUUUACUGAGCCACAACCCCGGCCCUGCUGUAAGUAUUUCUAAAGUUUUUUGGUUGUUUUGUUUUGUAGCAGGGAUUGAACCUAGGGGAGCUUAACCACUGAGCCACACCCCAAACCUUGUUUUUACAUUUUAUUUAGAGACAGGAUCAUGCUGAGUUGCUUAGGGCCUCCCUAAGUUGCUGAGGCUGGCUUUGAACUCUGAUCCUCUUGCCUCAGUCUCCCAAGCUCCUGGGAUUACAGGUGUGCACCACCAUGCCUGGCUCUAAAGUACUUUUAUUUAUUGGUUCACUGCUGUGUGAUCCAAACCCGGAUGAUCCUUAAUGCCAGAGUACAUACAGAUCUAUAAAACAGACAGAGAUAAGUACAACACAACAUCUCGGGAAUAGAUACUGCCUUAAUGUCAGAAUCACCUCCUUAGAGCUGGAGUAGACUUUAAAUUCCUGUUCCUUUUUUGGUUUUCUUAUCCAGCUGCUCCCCUACCAGACCUCAUCUUUUUAAAUUUUAUUUUAUUUUUUAAAUAUAUUUUUAGUUGUUGAUGGACCUUUAUUUUAUUUAUUCAUAUGUGGUGCUGAAAAUCGAACCCAGUGCUUCACACAUGCCAGCCAAGUGCGCUAUCGCUGAGCCACAGACCCAGCCCUUAAUUUUAGUUUUUGUUUACCUCCCUCCAUUCAUUCCCAUGCUCAUUUGAGAAGAUUUAAGAUCUUUCAGCCUUGGACAAAAACUUCUUUUAGCAACUGUAAAGUAGUAGCAAGAGAACAGUUGCCCAAGUUUCAGAUUAAAAAAAAAAAUGGAGCAUGUAUAUUAUGUGGCCAAUGUCUUCACUCUAACUUGGUUAUGAAACUAAAACCAUUCCCUACUGUUGUAAGAUGCUCAAAAAGUCAUCAGGAGGGGAGGAAAAUGGAUGCUCAGUUGUUACAUCAAAGGAAACAGCAUUAUUCUAGCAGCAUCCCUUCCGUGUAAGCCUUCCGCUGUGAGCAAUUUGAGGUCCCAUGAUAUACUUGAUGCUCAUAACCGAAGUGGCUGGAGGAUUGGGACUGUAUUUAUAGCAUCAGCAGAAUGGAAAAAUGUGAUUUUUUUGUUAAUGCAUGUCAAUGGAGGAAUGACCUGUUCUUGUUCUACAGAGAAUGGAAAUUGGAAGCCAAAUGUUCUUUGUAUUCCAAAAUAGGAUCUCAAAACAUUUUGUUAGGAAGCUGGAGACAUUAGUUCAUCUGUCCUCCAAUACACUGUUUAAUAUAGCACUGAAUAAAUGAUAAGAGUUGUCAAUGGAUGAGUGAUCAGCUAAUAGUUCUGCUAGUAAUUGAUUAAUUUUUCUGCAACAAAGUUGCAUUUACACACACACACACACACACACACACAUCCUCCCCAAAAAAGAAAAGUUUUGACCUAUGGUCACUUGUUUUGGGCAACACUCUAAACUUGGGAGACAGGGAUUAUCUAGCUAAGGGUCAACAUCUCUGCCUCUGGGCAUCUUUGGGUAGAAGAAUCUGAAACUCUGAUGUGCACAAAGAGGCAGCUCCUUCCUGGAGCACAGGGAGCCCUCUGCCAUGCUGCUGCCCUCAGCUUUCCCAGGCUGGAGAAUGUCUGAGGCCUUUCCCUGAAUCCGUCCUCGCACUCUGUUCUCGGCCACCAGUCAGGACAAGACUGGAAUCUGGGGCUGUGAUGAGGGCUGGGCAGGGGUUCUCUCAUGCAACCUUGCCAGCAGUCUCAGAGAGGUGGGGAAAGUAUGUUUCCAGACUCCAGGAAGUCAGUAUAGGGCUUAAUUAGUCUACUAAUGCUGAGGUUUGGCUCAGAAGCUCUGGCAAGAAGUUUCUGGCUGACUCUGGGAGUUUGGGAGGGCUCAGUGCUCAGGCCCUGGCUGCAGGAGCUGUGGUCACAUUUGAGAGUAUGAGACCUACCAAUACACACUCCAGAAAAUCUGGAGAUGGGGGGAGUAAAGGGAAAGUUGUCUGUAUGUCCCAGACUCUGGGCUGGAUGUUGUGUGUAUGAGGCUUUCAUUAAUGCAAUCUGUUUAUGGUAAGAUAGCUUUAUCUCCAAGCCCAGAGAGGUCAGGAGGAUGGCCUAAGGCCACACAUGCCAGUGGUUCUCCAAUAACUUUCUCCUACAUUAUCCAAGACAAAUUUUAGCUAGAAACAUGGCUGCCCAGAUCAGAGACUACAUUUCCCAGCCUCCUAUGCUGUCAGCUGAGGUCAUGUGACCAAAUUCUGCCAAUGAGCAGCAAAAGGAUGUGUUUAGCCACAGUUUCUGGGAAAAUUAUGUCAUAGCUUGUGCUGCAGCUCUCUGACUUUUUUUUUUUUUUUGUCCCCACCUCUUUUGUGCUGCUUGGCAGGUGGGUGCUACCCUGAACCCUUAGGACAAGGGCCACUCACUGACGUCAGAACAGCCACUCUUGUGAUUUUUUUCUGCUGUUUCUACCUGUUUCUAACUGCAAUGCCCAGGAAGUGAUGCGAUGGGGGAUUUGGACUGAGCCUGGUUUCCCACCAUAAUGUGAGGUUUCAGGGGCUCUUCUAUGUGCUGCUGUAACACAGCCUCUUUGGAAUUAAAUGUUCUUACUUCCCAACUCCAUGGUAACAGCUUUUUUUGCAUGCUGUGAAUGGAAACUGAAAAGCCACCCCCUGACCCUGGCUAGGCACAAAGGAAUUGGAAAUUGACAUAUUUCUGACUAGCACAGCCUAGUCAGAAAUAUGUUUUCUGCCUUUGGUCCCUCAGUAUCUCCUCUUCUUUUGUAAAACUUGUUUGUGCCCCUGAGCCCCCCAUAGAUAGAGAUAGGAAGCAGUGAAGGUAUCCCCUAACUUCCUCAGGGUCAGCUUUGAAGAAACCUGUUUUACUUCACCAACCUGCCUCCUGAGCUCUGGUGGAGUGGUGAGGAGCAGUAGGACCUUCUAUGGUGACAGCUGCAUCCUUUGACAGUGGCAUUGCAUGUGAAUGUCACAGAGUGUGCCUCGAAAACCCGAAGGUGCAGGGCAGUCAAUCCACAGCCUCCAUUUGCAGCCAAGAGAUGCAGUGGACACGAGAUGCCCGAGUUGCUGCCAGUGAACACGACACACUGUUUUACAGUCAACUUUUUUUUUUUUUUUUUUUGGUGCUGGGGAUUGAACCCAGGGCCUUGUGCUUGCGAGGCAGUCACUCUACCAACUGAGCUACACCCCCAGCCCCCCAAUUUUUUUUAUAUAAGUAGAAGGCAUAUACUCUAAAAUAAUGAUUAAAAAUAUAGCAUGGCAUUGAGCUGCCGUGGCCAGAGCUAUUUAAAUGUCCAUUUUGUCUCCAUGACUGAUAGACUUUGCUUCAUCAUGGACUAUUUGUCAUCAGAGGGAUUCGGGUGGAGGGUCAGUAAGUUACUGAUGAGUCUCUGGAAAGUAUAAGGAGAAUCCCGAGUUUGGCCCUUGAGUCUCAGGAUGCAAGAAUCAAGACCAUCACAAUGUGGCUGAGCAAGGAACCAUUAAACCACAGAGAAGACAUGGACCAGAUGAUAUAGACACGGGAGGUACCAAGAACUUUAAUAGAACUUAACAGUCGCUGUGACCUUUGCAUUGAUCCUGUCAUGGAACACAGAGCUGGGAGUUCAGCAAGGCUGGUAGGCACACGGGGAGAUGGCGGAGACCUCAACUCACCCAGCAAUGUAGUAGCAAAGCAGCCAGCCAGGGAACAAGUGGUCAGGGUCACAGCCAUGGGAGCAGCCAGCAGUGGAGACAUCAAACCUGUAACUCAUGGUGCCAGAGAAGGUGACACGGGAGAGCCUCUGACUCCGGUGGGUCCACCAUGCGGCCUGCGCAUUGGUUUCAUUAAUGAGGUUCUUGGCAUAAAAGUUAGCUAGAAGAGAUCGAAAUAAAACACACAGACUCAGUUACCUUAUUUCUAUUGCCAGGUCCGAGACGGCUCCCCUCUCUGGUUCCCUCCUCUAACCGCCCAGCAGGGCAGCAAGGAUUACCCAGGGCUAGCAGGAGAGAGAGAGAGCACGCCAGGGAGUAGCCUUUUAUUGGGGAACAAGAAAUUCAGGGGAUAAUUCCAUCAAUGAAGGUUGAGGGGGGGGCCGCACUCCAAGGUCAGGGUCAGUGAUUGGGCCCCCCGGGGUCAGUGGUCAGUCACACCCUCACACGGACGGGUUCUCUCAUCAGGAGAGGGCCAGGAAAAUUCCGACACAGCCAGAAGCCUCAGACCCAAACCGGGAGUCACCCAGUCACGCGUGAGAAUGGCUCCCCACAGGUGGGCAGUGUUCUGGGAAACCUAACAACCUGGCCCUGGAAAUGGACAAUGAAACGGAAGCUCAGUGUGGACAAUAGCUGGACACAGAAGAGGCCGACAUCAAUGAGAUGGAUUCGACAUCAGCAGAGCCUGAGCCGAAAGGCUGCAGCCUCUGCCACUCUUCCUCUCUUUUCUGGCUCCUCCAUCCAGCCAUUCCCUUGGCCAAGCUUGACAUUCGGCCCCUCGCUCUUCUACUGAGGAGAUGAUGGGGAGAACUGCUAGAGGGGCACCAGCCUCCCUACUCUCAAAAAAAAUUUUUUUUGAGGGUCCACUCAGUAUUCUGAGGUGAGUUUUGUAGUUUGGUUUUGUGUUGGGGGAAGACAAAGGGCCAGGGAAGAGAUCCAAGGUUGUGACCUCAGUAAACACCUGCAGGCCACAAAGCAAGAAGUGGCAGGGCCAUCAUAACGAUUUUCUUGGGUUUAGUUUUCAAUUUAAGUUGCAGGUUUUGCCAGUUAGAUACAAAUCUGGUUUUUGAACUUUUAUACACAAUAUAUUUUUUAUCAUAUAUCACAAUUUUUCAACCUUUCUUUGGUACUGGAAGUGGAACCCAGGAGUACUUUACCACUCAGCCACAUCCAUAGCCCUUUUUAUUUUUUAUUUUGAGACAGGGUCUUGCUAAGUUUCUUAGUCCCUUGCUAAGUUGCUGAGGCUGACCUUACAUUUGCAAUCCUCCUGCCUCAACCUCCUAAAUUACUGGGACUACAGGUGUGAGCCACAGUGCCCAGCAGCCUUGUGUAUUGAACUAUGUCCAGAAUCAAGUUUAUGCAGAUCUAAACUGUUGUGAAAAUCAAAUCAGUAUUAGUCACCUUUGAAGUUUAUCUGCAAACUUCCAAGUUGUCAAAGCGGCUCAGUUUGAUCAAUAACCACUGCUUGAUCCUUACAAUUAAAUUUUGUAACUAAAAAAAGAUACAGUCUAGUAAAUAUAUAAACCAGUAAAAUAAUUUUUUUUUAAUCAUCAAGUAUUAUGCACGGAAUAAAGUUGUAUGUGAUGUACUUGAAUACGACUGGCGGUGCAGUAGGUUUGCUUACACCAGCCUCUCCACAGGUGAUUGAGUGGUGCAUUGUACUUUGACGACACUGUGCAAUAGUUUUUCAGCUCCACUGUAAAUUUAUGGGAUACCUGUCUAUGAAUGACACCUCAUUAUGCAGGGCUUGACUGCACUGGAGACUCUGAUGGCUGGUUUCAGAGGAGGCGGGGAGCAUGUCCAAAGCGGCUCCUUAAACUCAUUCAUUCCAUAGGUGGAUUGAGGUUCUUUGCUGGAUCCAGAGGCAGCUUGGGGGCAAAAAUCCCUGAGAAGGUGGGGGGGGGGGCGAUGCCUCCCCUAAGAUCCAGGAAACUCCAGCCCCUGUGAUAGGACCCCUGCACAGCUGGCUCUGUGGCAGCUCUCAAGCAGCCCGGGCUCUUUCCCAGGCCUGAAGCCCUGGUCUCCUCUGACGGAAUCUGAGAUACCCCCGAGGACACCUUGCCAAGCUGCUGAACAGGCAGCAGUGCCUAUGAGAAUCCUUCAUUCAGGGCAGUCCUGGGGGAGCAUUGCAAGCCCAGGAGGUAUCACAGCCCCUCUCCUGGGAGGCAUAAGUCCCUUUACCUAAUCUCAGCAGGGAGGCCACAGCUUCAGGCUGUGCAGGGCUCAGUCUGAGUUCAAAAGGCUUGGAGGGCUGAGGAGAGGCCCCACUGACUUUAACCUGAGAAGAUGCCAUUUACAAACACAUGACAUGUCUGCUGGCUGGGCAGUCCUGAGACGGCUCCUACCCUCUUGUUCGUGAGAUCAUGAUGUCUUUUUCUCAAGGUUAUUGCCACCUGGAAUGAGAUCAUGAGAGCAAAAACACUCAAAAUUUACAAAGUCUCUACCAAUGUGGAAGAUUACGAUUCUGCAUUCGGAAAGCAGAAAUAAUAGUACUGCGGUUGAUAUUAUGGGUGCCCAAUCGGCCCUCUUUUCAGGGCCAUGCACUCCCUAGCUGUUAUGAAGGUCGGCUGCUAACAGUUCAGUCGCUCCCUCUUCAGAGUAAAUGGACACUGCCUUAUUUGGGGGUCUCACCUGAUGAUUGCCUGACAUGGCUUGAAAGGCCACUUCCGUCCCUCAGUAGGGCAACUCCAGUGCAGCACCGGCUCCAGCGCUUCCCAUGAGGUGGGGCUGGUGCUUGGCUGCAGCUGAGAACUCAGCCUGGCUCCUCCCCCCACUCUGUCCUUCUCCUUUGUCUUGAUUCUGAGGAUUCUUCUUCAAUGGAGGACAGACAUUGAGAUCUGCCUUGGGCUCUACUUUUAGGAAACCUGACCCAAGUAUAUCCUUUACAAAGUUUAUAUAUAUAUAUAUAUAUAUAUAUAUAUAUAUAUAUAUAUAUAUAUAUAUAUAUCUCCUCACCCACACACAUGUAAGCAUGUGAUCCACCAAUAAGCUACACUACCAGAAUAAAUUAUAUAAUAUAAAGAAAUUAGUCCAGUGCCUGGCAUGUAGUGAUUACCCAAUAAAUGUUAAGAGAUUGUGAUUGGGGGGGAGGGGACAGGGCACAAGGCCCUGAGUCCCAGCCCCAGCACCACCACCACCACAAGAGUAAGAAGUCAAAAUACGGUGGGUUGGUCAGUUGAUUGAUUUUUAUAUGCUAAGGGAAAAUGGUAAGCAGAGAACAGCAGCUGUGUUUUCUUGAAUAUCUUUGCUUCUAUUUUGGCCCUUACACAGCUAAUUAAGUUUCAGUCAUGAUAUACAUUUCCCUCACCAGCAGAGGGAGCCAUAUACAUGCAAAUAAGUGCUGUUUUCUCCCUCCCCUCAAGCAGCCUGGGUUGGCAAGAAAGAUCAGGUACAUGACAGAGCAGAGGUGGGAAGUUCCUGGAGAUUGACACAGAUAGUAGGAGUGAGCAGAACAGGGAGGAACACUGAGUCAAGCUGGUCGGAGGCUCUUGGGGGCAGGGACAGGGAGGCUUCUGCCACUCAGGCUCCAGGAAUAGUGAGAGGAGAUAACUUUCCCAGGGAAGCCACCACUACGGCUAGGUGGUCAGGGCCUGGCCUGGGCAGGGUGGUGGCAGCAAGGUGGUUAAGAGAGGAUAUUGAUAAUGGAAUGGAAUAAGAUGGCGCCAGAGAUUGUACUGUGUUCUUGGCUCUUGUGUUCUUGCAUGAGAGGAUUUCAAGCAAGACAUGAGACUAAGUAAGAGUAUAGCGAAGUUUAUUAGAAAAGAAAGAAGAGGGGGAGCACCCUCAAGGGGGAGAGUGGGUCCUCCCAGAGAAGAGAGUGACAACUCACUUCUUUGUGAGUUCCGUUUUAUUGGGGUAGGAGGGGAGGUUUCAGGAGAAUCCCACCCAAGCAGUACCUCUGAGCUGUUGAUUGACAGUUGGACUGCACAUGUUUUUACCUAAAGGCAACUCUCCGUCCCUUUGGUUUCUAUAAAGGUCACAAGGCUCUCUUUCAUUAGGGUCCAGUAGGGAUUCUGCUGUUUUUUUCAUGGGUGGGUUUUUGGACCUGCACUUCUUAAUCCCAAGAAGGAAGAACAACCCUGAAAAUAGCAAGCUUGUGAGUCCAGGAUCGUAACAUACUGUUAUCUCUUUUUUAAAAAAAAAUUUUUUUUAGUUGUCAAUUGACCUUUAUUUGUUUAUAUGUGGUGCUGAGAAUCAAAUCCAGUACCUUACACAUGCUAGACAAGCGCUCUUCAACUGAGCUACAACCCCAGCCCUACUAUUGUUAUCUCUUAAACCACAGUCAGGUCAGAAUGGCCUGCUGUGGCUGCUGAGACGGGCUGAGGGUUAGCACAGUCUAUGGCUCAGUCUAUAGAAUUACCCUUUAAACUCUAUGUUCGCCCACUGCCCACUUCUGUUUAUCUGCUGUCUAACAGGUAUGGACACCAAGUCUAGCCAAGCAGUCCAGAAGAAUAGUGGACCCACUGAUAUGGAGGAGAAGUUGAGGUAGGUUUUAUAGAACACCAAGGACAUUUCUCUAACUGGUUUGACCGCCCUGUUGGUCUGCAGUGAUAUCGUCUUACAUGGUACCCUUCCAGCAAGCUGCAACUCUGCAGGAUUCCUGUUCUGCAUGGAUUCCAGAAACCAGCGCAGUACUCAGAGGUGUUUUGUUUUGUUGUGUUUUUUGGGUACCAGGGAUUGAACUCAGGGGCACUCAAUCACAGAGCCACAUCCCCACCCUAUUUUGUAUUUUAAAAAUAGAGUCAGAGUCUCGCUGAGUUGCUUAGUGCCUCGAUAAAUUGCUGAGGCUGAUUUUGGACUCACAAUCCCCCUGCCUCAGCCUCCUGAGCCGCUGGGAUUCCAGGCAUGCGCCACCGCACCCAGCUUCAGAGGUGUUAAUAGCAUAAGGAUUCCAUUGGGAGUAGAGGCCAAGAAGUGUCCCAUAGCUCACAGGGAUUGUGUUCCAGCGUUGGAAUUAAACCUCUAGGGUGAAUAAAUGAGAACAUUAAAGAAUCUCCUAGGGGUGAUAGGGAGUAAAAAUAAAGAAGGAAUGAACUUGAAAGUGGGUGGCCUCCCUAACCCUGAGAUUUCGUCCUUUUUGGAGGUGUGGUUGCAGCCUCCAGAUGGCAGAGAAGGUCUCUGGGUUGUUCCUGGACAGAACUAGAACACAGAUAAGAGCCAAGACUGGGCAGAGAACCACAGGUUGAGGCUGGUGGGCUGCAGGCCUCCUCCUGGGCCACCUACAACAUCCCCCAGGAGGCUGCUUUUGGAGGAUGCUGCUGGACCUACAGGCUCAGGAAAGGGAGCUGCCUCAGGGGGCUGGGCUUUCCUGGAAACCAACUGGGUCACCCUUGUCCUUUACCAGGAACCCACCCAAGAGAGUAGCACUGAACUCCCCACAGGCUAAGAGGUGGGAUGCCCUCAGAAAGAGCUGUGAAGACACCUGUGAGUGUGACCUUGGAAACUGCUGAGAGGAGCUCCGCUGGCUUCAGAGACCCUGGAGCAAGUAGCAAGCAAAGCACAGAUGGAACCGGAAGCCUCUUCUUUCCCCAUCUUCUGCUGCCCUCUACAGACAGUUUCAUGUUGUGCCAGAUGGCAAGGGGAGCAUAGGCCCAGCACCCAUCAAGGGUGGACUGGGCACUGCCACGCAACAGAUGAUUAACUGUGCAGGAUGCUGGUGGACGGCACUGGUGGAGAGAGCUCUUUCAUAAACACUUUUUGAAAAUGUUUGCUUGAAGGACUAGUCCUGCCCGUUGAGAAAUUAUUCAAAACAAAGAACUCAACGGAAAAAAAAAUUAAGUGUAAAAGAAAAAGCAAAGAACAAUUAAAUCAAUAAAUAAUGCAAACUAAAUGAUUGUGAUUAAUACGGUAUAAAUAUCAAUAAAAGUG
rnacentral:lncRNA from 1 species